GGGAGUGGGGUGCUAUACAUGCAAGUCGAGCGGACAGAUGGGAGCUUGCUCCCUGAUGUUAGCGGCGGACGGGUGAGUAACACGUGGGUAACCUGCCUGUAAGACUGGGAUAACUCCGGGAAACCGGGGCUAAUACCGGAUGGUUGUUUGAACCGCAUGGUUCAAACAUAAAAGGUGGCUUCGGCUACCACUUACAGAUGGACCCGCGGCGCAUUAGCUAGUUGGUGAGGUAACGGCUCACCAAGGCAACGAUGCGUAGCCGACCUGAGAGGGUGAUCGGCCACACUGGGACUGAGACACGGCCCAGACUCCUACGGGAGGCAGCAGUAGGGAAUCUUCCGCAAUGGACGAAAGUCUGACGGAGCAACGCCGCGUGAGUGAUGAAGGUUUUCGGAUCGUAAAGCUCUGUUGUUAGGGAAGAACAAGUACCGUUCGAAUAGGGCGGUACCUUGACGGUACCUAACCAGAAAGCCACGGCUAACUACGUGCCAGCAGCCGCGGUAAUACGUAGGUGGCAAGCGUUGUCCGGAAUUAUUGGGCGUAAAGGGCUCGCAGGCGGUUUCUUAAGUCUGAUGUGAAAGCCCCCGGCUCAACCGGGGAGGGUCAUUGGAAACUGGGGAACUUGAGUGCAGAAGAGGAGAGUGGAAUUCCACGUGUAGCGGUGAAAUGCGUAGAGAUGUGGAGGAACACCAGUGGCGAAGGCGACUCUCUGGUCUGUAACUGACGCUGAGGAGCGAAAUAACUUGAUGCCCUCC
rnacentral:rRNA from 1 species